rnacentral:rRNA from 1 species
GACGAACGCUGGCGGCGUGCCUAAUACAUGCAAGUCGAACGCAGUGGGGACGGGUGAGUAACACGUGGGUAACCUCCCAUCAGAGGGGAUAACACUUGGAAACAGGUGCUAAACCGAUACUGAUGGAUGGACCCGCGGUGCAUUAGCUAGUUGGUGAGGUAACGGCGCACCAAGGCCACGAUGCAUAGCCGGCCUGGGAGGAUGAUCGGCCACACUGGAACUGAGACACGGCCCAGACUCCUACGGGAGGCAGCAGUAGGGAAUCUUCGACAAUGGGCGAAAGUCUGACCGAGCAAUGCCGCGUGAGUGAAGAAGGUUUUCGGAUCGUAAAGCUCUUUUGUUUGGGACGCGGUAUCUAACCAGAAAGCCACGGCUAACUUCGUGCCAGCAGCCGCGGUAAUAC